GCCGGGUGUGGUGAUGCACACCUGUAGUCCCAGCUACUCGGGAGGCUGAGUCAGGAGAAUCACUUGAAUCCAGGAGGCAGAGGUUGCAGUGAGCCGAGAUGGCACCACUGCACUCCAACCUGGGUGACAGAGUGAGACUCUGUCUCAA
rnacentral:SRP_RNA from 1 species